rnacentral:lncRNA from 1 species
GCCCGCAGCCCCUGGCCUGCGGCCCCCACCUUCUCGGCCGGGCAGGAAGUGACAGGCCCGGAGCGAGCCCCGGAGGCCUGGCUGAGCCGCGGCCGGGCCCGCACCCGGAGCGGCGGGAGGGGCGGGGAGCCGCGGUCGCGCCGGGCGCCUCCCACCCCGCCCUCGGCGCCCCCGCCCCUCCAGGAAGGGGAGGAGGCGAGGGGAGCCCGCCGCGGAGGCCGAGCGAGCCCCCAGCCCAGCCUGGCGACUGGGGACCCCGGCACAUGAGGUGGACGCCCCCGGGGAAGACUUGGGUGCACAGCCAGGCGAGAAGCCGAGCAUGCUGUCUAGUUAUCUCCCUGCUUUCGUGGUCCGCUGGGUUCCUCAGCCUCCAGUUCCUUGACUUCUGCCUCUGCUCUCUGUAUGCACAUGUCCCAGCUCACUUGGGUCAGUUCAUUCCCGGCGCACCACUGGAUCCACCCCCUUCCCCCAGUGUAUUUGAUUUCUCUUUGAAACAUCAUUUUCAUCAAGGUUCUAUAUAGAACGAGGACCCUUGGGCGUCUACUCCCUGUUCUCUUGAUUAUUACCGUGUCUUUGGCACAGUCUUCCCUGAACCACCCCCUUCUCCCGUCCCCCUUCCUAUGUCCCAUCCUUUCUGCAUGAUAAGAGUUUCGUGCUUAGGGAUAUUGACUUUCUCCAACUCUCGGCCCAAUGCUAAGUCCACCUCAAUGUCCCAUUCUAACUCCCUUCGGUAGGUCUGUGCGCCUACCCAACCCCAUGUAUGCCCACAUGCUACCUUUUAAGAUGACCAUGGCUUAGCUACUCUGGGGGCAUCUGUGGAUCAGCUUCUCACUGUCUUCCAGUUUAAUUUGGAAAAUUUUGAUACCUGGUGCUGCCCAAACUGUUUGUUGUCUCCAUUUUUUAUAUUUAAUCUUGUAGUCAUAAUGUUGAUCACAAAUGAAUACAUUUAUGUGCCCGGGAUCCAGGAAUCCUGGUUUUGGUGGCAGUUUCCCUUGAUUUUAUUGAGACUUUUAAGUUGGUCCCUUUACAUUUUUAUUUCUAGUUCACAAUCC